CAGUAGCCGCGGUAAUACGGAGGGGGCUAGCGUUGUUCGGAAUUACUGGGCGUAAAGGGCGCGUAGGCGGCCAUUCAAGUUAGAUGUGAAAGCCCUGGGCUCAACCUAGGAAUUGCAUUUGAUACUGAUUGGCUAGAGUUCGGGAGAGGUGAGUGGGAUUCCCAGUGUAGAGGUGAAAUUCGUAGAUAUUGGGAAGAACACCAGUGGCGAAGGCGGCUCACUGGACCGACACUGACGCUGAGGCGCGAAAGCGUGGGGAGCAAACAGGAUUAGAUACCCGGGUAGUCCCUGUCUCUUAUAA
rnacentral:rRNA from 1 species